GAUGAAGAACGUAGCGAAAUGCGAUAAGUAGUGUGAAUUGCAGAAUUCAGUGAAUCAUCGAAUCUUUGAACGCACAUUGCGCCCCUUGGUAUCCCGAGGGGCAUGCCUGUUCGAGCGUCAUUUCACCACUCAAGCCUGGCUUGGUGUUGGGCGACGUCCUCUUUGGGGACGCGCCUCGAAACGCUCGGCGGCGUGGCACCGGCUUUAAGCGUAGCAGAAUCUUUCGCUUUGGAAGUCGGGGCCCCGUCUGCCGGAAGACCUGCUCGCAAGGUUGACCUCGGAUCAGGUAGGGCUACCCGCUGAACUUAAGCAUAUCAAUAAGCGGAGGA
rnacentral:misc_RNA from 1 species